AGGGCCACACUUGUGGCACUUGUGGCUCCCAGGUUAGGGGUCAACUUGGAGCUACAGCCACCAGCCUACACCACAGCAACACCAGAUCUGAGCCGAACUGGCGACCUACACCACAUCUCAUGGCAACGCUGGAUCCCCAACCCACUGAGCAAGGCCAGGGAUCAAACCCCCACCCUUGUAGAUACUAUUUUACAAGAUAAAAGGGUUAUGGGGAUGAAUGGUGGUGAUGGCUGCACAACAAUGUAAAUGUAUCUAUCACUGAACCGUGCACUUCAAAAAAUGGUAAAGAUGGUAAAUUUUACGUUAUGGAUAUUUUUCCACAAUGGAAAAGAAAGAAUUCAAUUACAAAAUCAGCUGAAUGUAAAUAUUAUAAAAAUUUAUUUCUGGGAAAAAAUGGUAGGGAUUGCAGCAUUUUCACUUUCACAAUAUUUAGUGAUAUUUUCAUAUGAUUCAUUUGCUUUUGAGAGUUAAAUUAGAAAACAGAGCUUGUUUACUGGGCAUUAGGAAACCCACAGCACGGACAGGAAAAAGCCGCGAGUGCUGGUUUGCUCCUUGUCGGAUAUGUGAGCCAGUUUCCUCAUCAUAUCUCACCAUUAGACUUGAGAUAAAUCAGUCUGCCCUUAAAAAAAAAAUUUUACACAAAUCCACCCUCUCUGCUGACAAGUCUUGUGAUUUAAAAACAACCUAUUGUGAGGUGAUCUCAAUACACUAAUUGUGUAAAGCAUUUAGAAUGAAGCCAGAUACAUAGCAAACAUUACAUGUGUUAUUCUUAUUCCAGAACUACAAAACUGUAUCCACAAGUCCAAAACUCAAACAAACAAACAAACAAACAAACCCCCCAAAAACUAAAAAUCAAAAAUUUGCCCCCCGAAGUCUGGCACAAAUUAAUUUGGGAGCAAAACCUGAUGUGAACUGAUGGGAGGCUAUUGAUAGUCGAUACUCAUUCCUUAUUCUGCAUUAACAAACUUAACUGAAGAAAUAUUAACAUAUUUGAAUGCUCCUCCACACCCCCAUUAGAGGUAUUAUAUUAUAAUAUACUGUAAUAUAGUAUAGUACAAUAAACUGUAUUACCUCUGUAUUUCCUAAAAAUCUGAAAUACUCUUAAUUUCAAAACAUCCUAAAAAACAAAAAAAGUCCCUGGUCCUGGCCUCAGAAAACAGGAGUUUCAAAGAAGGGACUGUGGACCUAUAUUUUAUUAUCCUUUGUUGGCCAGAGACCUGGUGUGACAACCAGACAAUAUAAGAAAAUUCGCCAUCUGGUGGUUGCAGUGGAGAACAAGCAAAACCAAAAUGAAGUAAAAUACACAAAAUACUAUUAUUAAAAUUUCCAAUAGCGUAGCAUUUACAAUAACUGUACGUACACAAAAAACUGACUGCAACUUAAAAUUGAUUACUAAGUUGAUUACACUCUAAAUUGGAAUCACAAAUUUUAAAAUACUUUAAAAUUGCUCUAUCAGUUUGCUGAGAUUUCCUUAUCCCAGAGUGACUCUGAGCAGGUGGAUGUAGCACUUGCUACCUAGACCAGAAUACUCUUCGAUAGCCUGCACUUUCUAAUGCUCUCAUUCUCUUGCUUUCUGCUCUCACAGACUUCCUCUUCUUACCUGAUACAACGAAAAUCAAAGGUCUUCCAACACAUCUUUCACACACAACUUUUAUGCCUGAGGUCAGCACAACUUUUCUGCUAAGGGCCAUUUUGGACACUGUGGGCCAUUUGGUUUCACCUACCUAACUCUGUCAUUGUGGACUGAAAACAGUCAUAGACAUUACAUAUCUAUGACAUAGGCUGCAGCAACACCAGAUCCUUUAACCCACUGCGCCUGGGAUGGAAGCCGUGCCUCAGAGGCAACCUGAGCUGUUGCAGUUGGAUUAACCCACUGUAUCGCAGCAGGAACUCCUAAAAACCAUUUUAAGAUGUAAAAACUAUUCUUAGUUUGUGAGCUGUGCAGACACAGGCAGUGGGCCAGAUUUGGCUCAUGGGAGGGCUAUAGUUUGCUGACACCUGGUUUAACCAAGUUUCGCAACCAAUCAGCAGUGACGUCAAUCCUUGUACAUUCUUUUAAAACUCACAGACCUCUCUGGAAUCUCCCACAUUCAGAAGUUAUUUGGCAGGUAAGAUUUUGUUCAGGGAGUGACCUGGAGUAGGGCUGCACCCCUCCUCCCCACCUUCCUAUGGAACCAUCCAGGCUUAGGUAUCACUUUCAUUGGGACUGUCAAGUGGAAUGCUUUGAGUAGGCAGGUAAAAUAUCGUUUUGCUGUUGCUUUCUUUUCCUUUGCUAACCUGGAAGACUUCAUACCUGUAUCAUUACUCUCUGGUCUAAGAUGUUCCUAAAUAGAGCUAACAGAGAUUGAAAAAACUUUCCAAGCUGGUAAAGCCAGCCAUCUGAUUGUUUUUUUGACCUUGGAGAGGUCAUUAAAACAAAAAAAAUAACAACUUUGCAAUUGGGGGUUCUUUUGUGGCACAGUGGGUUAAGGAUCUGGUGUUGUCACUGCCGUGGUUUGGGUC
ensembl:lncRNA